rnacentral:misc_RNA from 1 species
CUUCCGUGCCGCUUCUGAUUACAAGUAAGUUCAUUUGGUUAGUUCUUUUCCUUUCCUUUUAUUUAUAUAUUUAUUUUUCAUUUGGUCGUGCUGAAGUUCUUGGAAAGCUGUGGAAUUAAUUGGAUAUUUGUGUUCUAGGUUCAGGAAUUGGGAGGAUUAGAAAUGGUGCUGUAGGUAAUUAGAUUGGUUGGGCAAGGAUUAGGGAUUUUAUGUGUUGCUUCGUAGGUUAAGAUUUGAAUAAAAGUUCAGCGCAUAAUGCUUAAUUAACUCAAUUUUUUGGUUGAAUUUUUAUCGAUCCUAUGAGAACUUAAAACGUAAUUAACUUCCUUUAAUUUUUUAUUGUUAUUAGUUUUUUCUGUUGAUGUAUAUGUAAUAAAAUUUUUUAACCUUUGAUUGAUUACUCAUUGUAUUUGUAAGAUUCAUGCACCUUUUUGCCUGAAUAUUCUGACCUUCUCAAUGCGGAUUUGCCAGUUCCUAGCACAGUGGGGAUGUAAUUUGUAUAAUAAAUAUUUAAAAAUUUUGUAGAGCUGGAAAAGGGAGCUAACUGGUGAUGCUUAUAUGUUUAUUAUGCUCACCUCGAAAAUUUCUUGUUGGAUUUGGG